UACGUAGGGGGGCUAGCGUUGUCCGGAAUCAUUGGGCGUAAAGAGCGUGUAGGCGGCUCGGUAAGUCCGCUGUGAAAGUCCAGGGCUCAACCCUGGAAUGCCAGUGGAAACUGUCGAGCUAGAGUCCGGAAGAGGCGAGUGGAAUUCCUGGUGUAGCGGUGAAAUGCGCAGAUAUCGGGAGGAACACCAAUGGCGAAGGCAGCUCGCUGGGACGGUACUGACGCUGAGACGCGAAAGCGUGGGGAGCAAACAGG
rnacentral:rRNA from 1 species